GUGCCAGCAGCCGCGGUAAUACCGGCAGCUCAAGUGAUGUCCCAUAUUAUUGGGCCUAAAGCGUCCGUAGCUGGCCGAUCAAGUCUCCCGGGAAAUCCACCCGCCCAACGGGUGGGCGUCCGGUGGAAACUGCGUGGCUUGGGACCGGAAGGCGCGACGGGUACGUCCGGGGUAGGAGUGAAAUCCCGUAAUCCUGGACGGACCGCCGAUGGCGAAAGCACGUCGCGAAGACGGAUCCGACAGUGAGGGACGAAAGCUAGGGUCUCGAACCGGAUUAGAUACCCGGGUAGUCC
rnacentral:rRNA from 1 species